GCAGUGGUGGUCCAGUGGCAGAACUCUUGCCUUCCAUGCAGGAGACCUAGGUUCGACUUCUGACCAGUGCA
rnacentral:tRNA from 1 species